rnacentral:rRNA from 1 species
UACGAAGGGGGGCUAGCGUUGUUCGGAAUUACUGGGCGUAAAGCGCGUGUAGGCGGGUCUUUAAGUCAGGGGUGAAAUGCCAAGGCUCAACCUUGGAACUGCCUUUGAUACUGGAGAUCUUGAGUCCGGGAGAGGUGAGUGGAAUUGCGAGUGUAGAGGUGAAAUUCGUAGAUAUUCGCAAGAACACCAGUGGCGAAGGCGGCUCACUGGCCCGGAACUGACGCUGAGACGCGAAAGCGUGGGGAGCAAACAGG